AGAGUUUGAUCAUGGCUCAGAUUGAACGCUGGCGGCAGGCCUAACACAUGCAAGUCGAGCGGAAACGAUCCUAGCUUGCUAGGAGGCGUCGAGCGGCGGACGGGUGAGUAACACGUGAGAAUCUGCCCAUUAGAGGGGGAUAACCUGGGGAAACCCAGGCUAAUACCGCAUAAUCCCUACGGGGGAAAGCAGGGGAUCUUCGGACCUUGUGCUGAUGGAUGAGCUCGCGUCGGAUUAGCUUGUUGGUGAGGUAAUGGCUCACCAAGGCGACGAUCCGUAGCUGGUCUUAGAGGAUGAUCAGCCACACCGGGACUGAGACACGGGCCGGACUCCUACGGGAGGCAGCAGUGGGGAAUCUUGGACAAUGGGGGCAACCCUGAUCCAGCCAUGCCGCGUGUGUGAAGAAGGCCUUCGGKUUGUAAAGCACUUUCAGUAGGGAG
rnacentral:rRNA from 1 species